GGAAAAGAAACCAACCGGGAUUGCCUCAGUAACGGCGAGUGAAGCGGCAAGAGCUCAAAUUUGAAAGCUGGCCCCUCCGGGGUCCGCGUUGUAAUUUGCAGAGGAUGCUUCGGGCUCAGCCCCCGUCUAAGUGCCCUGGAACGGGCCGUCGGAGAGGGUGAGAAUCCCGUCUGGGACGGGGUGCCUGGGUCCAUGUGAAGCUCCUUCGACGAGUCGAGUUGUUUGGGAAUGCAGCUCUAAAUGGGUGGUAAAUUUCAUCUAAAGCUAAAUACUGGCCGGAGACCGAUAGCGCACAAGUAGAGUGAUCGAAAGAUGAAAAGCACUUUGAAAAGAGAGUUAAACAGCACGUGAAAUUGUUGAAAGGGAAGCGCUUGCGAUCAGACUCGCCUGCGGGGUUCAGCCGGCAUUCGUGCCGGUGUACUUCCCCGUGGGCGGGCCAGCGUCGGUUCGGGUGGCCGGUCAAAGGCCCCGGGAAUGUGUCGCCCUCCGGGGCGUCUUAUAGCCCGGGGUGCCAUGCGGCCUACCUGGACCGAGGAACGCGCUUCGGCUCGGACGCUGGCGUAAUGGUCGUAAGCGACCCGUC
rnacentral:rRNA from 1 species